rnacentral:rRNA from 1 species
CAGCAGCCGCGGUAAUACGUAGGUGGCGAGCGUUGUCCGGAUUUACUGGGUGUAAAGGGCGUGUAGGCGGGGGAGCAAGUCAGAUGUGAAAACCCAAGGCUUAACCAUGGGACUGCAUUUGAAACUGUUUUUCUUGAGUGACGGAGAGGCAAGCGGAAUUCCUAGUGUAGCGGUAAAAUGCGUGGAUAUUAGGAGGAACACCGGUGGCGAAGGCGGCUUGCUGGACGUUAACUGACGCUGAGACGCGAAAGCGUGGGGAGCAAACAGGAUUAGAUACCCUGGUAGUCCGCACCGUAAACAAUGCAUACUGGGGUGUCCGGGGAUUUCCCCGGGUACCGUAGCCAACGCGUUAUGUAUGCCCGCCUGGGGAGUACGUACGCAAGUAUAAACUCAAAUAAUUGACGG